CGCCAAGGUGGAGACAGCGGCACGCAUCUGCCAGCUGUGAGGAAGGCGGGGGAGAUUCUUUCUCUCACCGUGAUGAGUGCUGUGGUAGCAAUCUGGGGUCUAGAAUUUUUAAAACGUGAACGGAAACUCUUAUGACAACCAAAAUGGCAAUUUGGUAGGGCGAAGGACUGAGAUUCAGCUUUCUCUUAUCUGCCAAAACUGGGAACAAUGUGCAUUCGAUAUAAAUGUAUAAUCUAAGAUAAGCUUGGAAAUGGAGAAGAAUUUGAAGCAUGCUAUAGGCAGUCUAAGCCUUUUUGAAAUCAAAUUUGAAAUAGAUUUUUGCCAGGCAAUCCUUCUAAUUACUGUAGUAUUUCUUGGUAUCAGAAGACUCAGGCAGGGGACAGGGCACAGGAGAGAGAAAUUCAAACUAAUUUGCAUUAGAAAGAAACUUAGGGUGGAGAAUUUCUAGGUAAGGUUGCUAUGGCUGAUAUCUUAAGUGCACUCCUGGAAAGCAUUCUAGUCUGUUAAGUAACACCCGAAGCCCCAAUUCUGUUACGCGGCGUUUCUUUUUUUCUCUCUCUCUAACUACUCUGAAACUAUACAGAGUUACACGUUCCUCAUUAAUUUAUGAGCGAUACCAAAGGAAUUGACUCAAUCCAACAAGUAUUUGAGCGCCUUCCCUGGAUGAGGCGCUCUGCUAAGAGCUGCAGAAGAAUGGAAGAUGGAGGAAUUUUCCAGUUAAAACAACAACAGCAGCAUCUACAGUGGACUGACUUGUAAGGUAGGAUUCAUGGUGCCCAGGUAUAAGACCUCGCUUUAGAACAGGGACAGUGCAUCAGUCACAGGGGCUGAGGAGCCAGCUCUCUCUUCUCCAGUGCUCAGCCCACUGUCAAGGUUUCACUGAACUGCACUAGAUCUCCCAUCUGGGGACCCUGUCCCCUGCCCCUUGUGCUGCACGUUGGAUCUGGAAGAAGGAGAAAAACAGUGUAUGUGUGACUGUCCAAUCAAUAAAAGAGAAACGGACGUGAGUUGACAAAAGAUGGAAAAGCAUUAAGGAAGAACCGUAGAACAAGGGUAAGGAGGCCCAUGGAUUGCAAGGAGCUACACUUUCUUCCUUUUCUCUCUGCUAUUGGUCUUAUAGCUACUACAAGUUUAUUCUCAAGCUUUCUAAAACUUAG